AGUGAACGCUGGCGGUAGGCCUAACACAUGCAAGUCGAACGGCAGCACAGUAAGAGCUUGCCCUUACGGGCGGCGAGUGGCGGACGGGUGAGGAAUACAUCGGAAUCUACUUUUUCGUGGGGGAUAACGUAGGGAAACUUAUGCUAAUACCGCAUACGACCUACGGGUGAAAGCAGGGGAUCUUCGGACCUUGCGCGAUUGAAUGAGCCGAUGUCGGAUUAGCUAGGUGGCGGGGUAAAGGCCCACCAAGGCGGCGAUCCGUAGCUGGUCUGAGAGGAUGAUCGCCGACACUGGAGCUGGAACACGGACCAUGCGCCUGAGAGAGGCAGCAGAGGGGAAUAGGAGGCAGCAGGCGCGAGCCUUGUCCAACGGUACCGCGUCGGUGGCAGAAGCGUUCGGUGUGUGAAGCCCGUCUGUUGGGUGAAAAAAGCAUCAAGUUAAUACGCCGCUGUUCUGACGGUACCUGAAGAAUAAGCACCGGCUAACUACGUG
rnacentral:rRNA from 1 species